UGAGGCGCCUGGUCCUGGGGACCUCUUUCCACUCUUUACUCUCAAGAUAGGAGGAUGGGUCUGGGGGAUUGUUUUUGGUUUUCUGGUUUUGUUUUACUCUGGUUUGGUCGGUUUUGUAUUUUUCUAUUUUUCCUUUUUUUCCCUUUUUUCUUUUUUGAUUUUUCUUUCCCGUUAUUCUCCCAGCCAAAAGCUACCUUCGACCCUUUUGAUUUGAUGUAGCAAAGAGUGUGUGUCCAGAUUAUCUGAAAUUGACACUGAAGAAGAGAUCUUGACCUGCAAGAGCGGACAACAACGUGACUCAGGCUGGGACCACUGAGCCUACCUAGGUCACAGGGAGGAAAAAAGGGACCGCAGAACAGCAGAGAUAGGACCUCCCAACCCUGCGCCAGCUGGCAGCUCCCUGCCAGAGAAGCAGAGACAUCCCUCCUUCCUCCCUUCCCCCAUAAGAGCCAAAGGCUCGAAGGCCGAACCUCCCGCCGCCGUCAGCCCACGGGGGCAGCUCUCAGAGAGCCAGGGAGGAGUUGUGAUGAGGGGA
rnacentral:antisense_RNA from 1 species